AAGCACUGGUAUCAAUGCCGAGUACAUGGAGAAAGAGUCUAGUGGUCCCGCAGUACAAAGGAAAAGGAGCAACGACGGUAUGUGGGAAUUACAGGACUAUUAAGCUGAUGGAGCAUGCGUUGAAGAUAGUAGAGAGAGUGUUUGAAAGAAGGUUGAAGGAAGUUGUUCGGAUGGGGGAAGAGCAGUAUGGAUUCAUACCGGGGAGAGGAACGACGGAUGCGUGUUUUGUGUUGAGGCAGCUGCAGGAGAAAUUUUUGGAGAAGGACAGAGAAUUGUAUAUGGUGUUUGUAGAUUUGGAGAAGGCGUUUGAUAGAAUUCCGAGAAAGGUGAUCGAGUACGCGCUGCGUAAGAAAGGUGUGACAGAGAAUAUGGUUCGGGCAGUUAUGGAGACUUAUGAAGGUGUAGAGGCGGUGGUUACGGAGGAAGGUGUUAGAUCUGGUGUUUUGAGGUAAAGUUGGUGUUCAUCAAGGUUCAGUCUUGUCGCCGUUACUGUUUGCUUGUGUGAUGGAUGUACUGACAGAGGAAGUGAGAAAA